rnacentral:rRNA from 1 species
UAAAAGAAUGGAAUAUCAAAGAAUAACUUUCUUAAAAUUAAAAAUUGAAAUUUUUUUAAUUUGUGUAAAAACAAUUAUAUAAAUUAAAGACAAGAAGACCCUAAGAAUUUUUAAAAUUUAAAUUAACACAUUUUUGUUUUAAUUAAAUUUUAACUGGGGCGGUUAAAAAAUAUUAAAAACUUUUUAAUUUUGAAAAUGACCCAUUAUUAAUGAAAAUAUGAUAAAAUACUCUAGGGAUAACAGCGUUAUAUUUUUUGAUAGAUCAUAUUGACAAAAAAGUUUGCGACCUCGAUGUUGGAUUAGGAUACUUUUUUAAUGAAGAUAUUAAAAUAAGAAGUUUGUUCAACUUUUAAAUUCCUACUUGAUC